AUGGGAAUCUUGCGCAAUGGGCGAAAGCCUGACGCAGCAACGCCGCGUGCGGGAUGAAGGCCUUCGGGUUGUAAACCGCUUUCAGUGGGGACGUACCAAGACGGUACCCACAGAAGAAGCCCCGGCCAACUACGUGCCAGCAGCCGCGGUAACACGUAGGGGGCAAGCGUUGUCCGGAUUCAUUGGGCGUAAAGAGCUCGUAGGCGGUUCGAUAAGUCGGGUGUGAAACCUCCAGGCUCAACCUGGAGACGCCACCCGAUACUGUCGUGACUAGAGUCCAGUAGGGGAGCGUGGAAUUCCUGGUGUAGCGGUGAAAUGCGCAGAUAUCAGGAGGAACACCAGCGGCGAAGGCGGCGCUCUGGGCUGGCACUGACGCUGAGGAGCGAAAGCGUGGGGAGCGAACAGGAUUAGAUACCCUGGUAGUCCACGCCGUAAACGUUGGGUACUAGGUGUGGGGUCUUAUCAACGGAUUCCGUGCCGAAGCUAACGCAUUAAGUACCCCGCCUGGGGAGUACGGCCGCAAGGCUAAAACUCAAAGGAAUUGACGGGGGCCCGCACAAGCAGCGGAGCAUGUUGCUUAAUUCGAGGCAAACGCGAAGAACCUUACCUGGGUUUGACAUGGUAGGAAAAGCAUAGAGAUAUGGUGUCCUUUGGCUAUCACAGGUGGUGCAUGGCUGUCGUCAGCUCGUGUCGUGAGCUGUUGGGUUAAGUCCCGCUACGAGCGCAACCCUUAUCCUAUGUUGCCAGCGCGUAAUGGCGGGGACUCGUGGGAGACUGCCGGGGUCAACUCGGAGGAAGGUGGGGACGACGUCAAGUCAUCAUGCCCCUUAUGUCCAGGGCUGCAAACAUGCUACAAUGGCCGAUACAAAGGGCUGCGAAACCGCGAGGUCGAGCGAAUCCCACAAAGUCGGUCUCAGUUCGGAUCGGAGUCUGCAACUCGACUCUGUGAAGCGGGAGUUGCUAGUAAUCCCGGAUCAGCAACGCCGGGGUGAAUACGUUCCCGGGCCUUGUACACACC
rnacentral:rRNA from 1 species